UCCGGGGUAGCUCAGUGGUAGAGCAAUUGACUGUUAAUCAAUGGGUCGCAGGUUCGAAUCCUGUCCCCGGAGCCA
rnacentral:tRNA from 1 species